AGAGCGAACGCUGGCGGCAGGCCUAACACAUGCAAGUCGAGCGCCCCGCAAGGGGAGCGGCAGACGGGAGAGUAACACGUGGGAACGUGCCCUUUGGUUCGGAACAACACAGGGAAACUUGUGCUAAUACCGGAUAAGUCCGUAAGGAGAAAGAUUUAUCGCCAAAGGAUCGGCCCGCGUCUGAUUAGCUAGUUGGUGAGGUAACGGCUCACCAAGGCGACGAUCAGUAGCUGGUCUGAGAGGAUGAUCAGCCUCACUGGGACUGAGACACGGCCCAGACUCCUACGGGAGGCAGCAGUGGGGAAUAUUGGACAAUGGCGCAAGCCUGAUCCAGCCAUGCCGCGUGGAUGAUGAAGGCCCUAGGGUUGUAAAGUCCUUUCGACGGGGAAGAUAAUGACGGUACCCGUAGAAGAGCCCGGCUAACUUCGUGCCAGCAGCCGC
rnacentral:rRNA from 1 species